rnacentral:rRNA from 1 species
AUUGAACGCUGGCGGCAGGCCUAACACAUGCAAGUCGAGCGAGCGGCGGACGGGUGAGUAAUGUCUGGGAAACUGCGUGAUGGAGGGGGAGAACUACUGGAAACGGUAGCUAAUACCGCAUACCCUCAGAUGUGCCCAGAUGGGAUUAGCUCGUAGGUGGGGUAAUGGCUCACAUAGGCGAGGAGCACUAGCUGGUCUGAGAGGAUGACCAGCCACACUGGAACUGAGACACGGUCCAGACUCCUACGUGAGUCAGCAGUGGGGAAUAUUGCACAAGGGGCGCAAGCCUGAUGCAGCCAUGCCGCGUUGUUUAAGAAGGCCUUCGGGUUGUAAAGCACUUUCAGCGGGGAGGCGUUACCCGCAGAAGAAGCACCGGCUAACUCCGUGCCAGCAGCCGCGGUAAUAC